rnacentral:rRNA from 1 species
CACGGGGGGAGCAAGCGUUGUUCGGAAUCACUGGGCGUAAAGGGCGUGUAGGCGGUCAGGUAAGUGGGAUGUGAAAUGCCCCGGCUCACCCGGGGACCGGCAUCCCAUACUGCUUGGCUUGAGUACGGGAGAGGAUGUGGGAAUUCCUGGUGUAGCGGUGAAAUGCGUAGAUAUCAAGAGGAACACCUGAGGUGAAGACGGGUUGCUGGGCUGACACUGACGCUGAGGCGCGAAAGCCAGGGGAGCAAACGGG